rnacentral:sRNA from 1 species
AGAUGCCUCUAACUAGAGAAGACCAGUUUCAGUCUUGUUUCAUAUUUUUGUUUUCAGGACGAGAGGUCCGCGUAUGAGUUAUAUCACAAUACCUGGCAUGGGACGAAUACUUCGAUCUGAUGUCAUGCUCCCAGAAUCCACUGCCACCACUUCUAGUACUGCUCUAAAACCUGCGGGGACCAGCAAACAAGCCAGGUC